rnacentral:rRNA from 1 species
UACAGAGGUCCCGAGCGUUGUCCGGAAUCAUUGGGCGUAAAGAGCGUGUAGGCGGCUUGCUAAGUCUUGCGUGAAAUCUCGGGGCUCAACCCCGAGCGGUCGUGGGAAACUGGCAGGCUAGAGUGCGGGAGAGGAGAAUGGAAUUCCUGGUGUAGCGGUGAAAUGCGCAGAUAUCAGGAAGAACACCCGUGGCGAAGGCGGUUCUCUGGAACGCAACUGACGCUGAGACGCGAAAGCGUGGGGAGCAAACAGG